UACGUAGGGUGCGAGCGUUAAUCGGAAUUACUGGGCGUAAAGGGUGCGUAGGCGGUGUGCCAAGUCAGGCGUGAAAGCCCCGGGCUCAACCUGGGAACGGCGCUUGAGACUGGCACGCUCGAGUUCGGGAGAGGAUGGUGGAAUUCCCAGUGUAGAGGUGAAAUUCGUAGAUAUUGGGAAGAACACCGAUGGCGAAGGCAGCCAUCUGGACCGACACUGACGCUGAGGCGCGAAAGCGUGGGGAGCAAACAGG
rnacentral:rRNA from 1 species